rnacentral:misc_RNA from 1 species
GGUCUAACCCACUAGAAACCAGGUGGGCAUGAAUAUCCUUUGUCAUAUUUGUAAAUAAUAGUAAGUUUAACUUAAAUUGUUUAGUCAUAUGUGUUUCCUUCCUUUGGCAUGCAUUUCUUAGAUAUAUUACAUGAAAAUUGUGAAUAAUGUAUAUGCAAUAUUUGUGUGGUUGCAGUACAUGCGUAUCUGAAACAUACCUACAAAAAAAGAUUUUAAAGAUUGAAACUUAUUUUUCAUUUUUAAGAAUGGCUUUUGGGAUUGGAAAACAUUUUUAUUGGCUAUUGGCCUCUAACAAACAGGUAGAAAAGGAAAACAACAUCGAUUACCCUAUUAAAAACCAUUGAACUGUUUUAGAUUAUCAAUCACAAGACAAGGUCCACAAUUCUCCUUUGUUAAAUUCAUAUUCAAUAACCUCUAGAAUUGCUUCUUGUACGAAAUAGCAUUCUGCCCUUCAUCAUGGAGCUCCUUCCCUUUGCUGUGGCCUUUAGAGAACAUUAAAUUUUCAUUUAACAAAUGAAGUUUUUCUUCCCCCCAACAACCCAAAUGUAAAAACAUUAAUGGUUUAAGAAUUGGUUUUCUGUUUCAGGUUACCUGAUGCACCGGAUAU